rnacentral:rRNA from 1 species
AUACGUAGGGGGCGAGCGUUGUCCGGAAUGAUUGGGCGUAAAGGGCGCGUAGGCGGCCCGGUAAGUCUGGAGUGAAAGUCCUGUUUUUAAGAUGGGAAUUGCUUUGGAUACUGUCGGGCUUGAGUGCAGGAGAGGUAAGUGGAAUUCCCCGUGUAGCGGUGAAAUGCGUAGAGAUUGGGAGGAACACCAGUGGCGAAGGCGACUUACUGGACUGUAACUGACGCUGAGGCGCGAAAGUGUGGGGAGCAAACAGGAUUAGAUACCCUGGUAGUCCACACUGUAAACGAUGAAUGCUAGGUGUAGGGGGUAUCGACCCCUUCUGUGCCGCAGUCAACACAAUAAGCAUUCCGCCUGGGGAGUACGGCCGCAAGGUUGAAACUUAAAGGAAUUGACGGGG